AGCGGCGGAUGGGUGAGUAACACGUGGGGAACCUGCCCCUAAGUCUGGGAUACCAUUUGGAAACAGGUGCUAAUACCGGAUAAUAAAGCAGAUCGCAUGAUCAGCUUUUGAAAGGCGGCGUAAGCUGUCGCUAAGGGAUGGCCCCGCGGUGCAUUAGCUAGUUGGUAAGGUAACGGCUUACCAAGGCGACGAUGCAUAGCCGAGUUGAGAGACUGAUCGGCCACAUUGGGACCGAGACACGGCCCAAACUCCUACGGGAGGCAGCAGUAGGGAAUCUUCCACAAUGGACGCAAGUCUGAUGGAGCAACGCCGCGUGAGUGAAGAAGGUUUUCGGGUCGUAAAGCUCUGUUGUUGGUGAAGAAGGAUAGAGGUAGUAACUGGCCUUUAUUUGACGGUAAUCAACCAGAAAGUCACGGCUAACUACGUGCCAGCAGCCGCGGUAAUACGUAGGUGGCAAGCGUUGUCCGGAUUUAUUGGGCGUAAAGCGAGCGCAGGCGGAAAAAUAAGUCUAAUGUGAAAGCCCUCGGCUUAACCGAGGAACUGCAUCGGAAACUGUUUUUCUUGAGUGCAGAAGAGGAGAGUGGAACUCCAUGUGUAGCGGUGGAAUGCGUAGAUAUAUGGAAGAACACCAGUGGCGAAGGCGGCUCUCUGGUCUGCAACUGACGCUGAGGCUCGAAAGCAUGGGUAGCGAACAGGAUUAGAUACCCUGGUAGUCCAUGCCGUAAACGAUGAGUGCUAAGUGU
rnacentral:rRNA from 1 species